CUUGAUUUACUGAGAGUUCUUUCUCUCUCUCUCUCUCUCUUUUUUUUUUUUCCCCCUCUGAGUUUCCCUGACUUUUUCUUAUGGCUGAAUUUCCACAGGACUACGUGGGAAUCUGAGCUACACAGGAGGCUGACAACCAGAAGAAUUGAGCGAUCAUGCCCUCAGACUUUUUCUUUGAUGGUGCAGGUGAAGGAGAACAGAAACAUGAAAAUACUUCAGCUCUUCAGGCUCUCUUACUCUUUCUCUGCAGAAACCAUUUUGUGCAGUGCUCCAGGAGCCAGCUGCUUCACUUCAAUCAAGCACAGCACAGUUUCAGGGUAACUAAAAGAAAAUGAAGGAAAGGAAAUGCCUCUCCUCCGAAGUAGCUUACAUAAAGGCAUUGGAAAGAAGGCCUAAUUCUUCUGGGUAAAAUAUUUUUCAUUUAGACCUGAAAAUGGAUGCAAUUUUCUGCAGAUAAAACUGUUUAGUGAGAUGUGCAGAAUACUGGCAUAUCCAUCUGGCGAAGUUUCACAUGGCAGUGCCCCUGUUUUUCAGUGCUGUUCAUGUCAUUUUUUCAUGGGGCAGAAGCAGAGCUUGCAGCACUCAUAGCCAAGCAGUGCUAAGUGGCGCCAAGCAGUGCUAAGUGGCAUCAAGCAGACUCAUGUCCAACUUUCUGGAAAAGUGCAUGGGAAUUACAAAUGGAGCUCUGAGGAUCAAGCAGGGAGAUGAACAGGGAAUUUGUUAGGGGAUAAAGGAUAAUCUAUGCUAUCAAAGAGAGAGCAGAAAUGAGCCUGAGUCCAGCCAAGAAAAAGAGCAGAAGAGGUGCUCUCAUCACAGCAGAUCAGCUCUGAAGGCCACAUGGUGCCUUGGGUACAUGGAUAAGCUUGGUUUGAAGAGAACAAGAGCAGCUGAGUGUGCAACUUAAAUGAUGUUGGUGCUGUCUCUCCAUGAGUAGGGCCAACAGUGGGCAGCUUCAGGAGGGCAUGUAGGUUUGGAGCAGGUGAAAGUAGCAGUUCUAUAGAAAGCUGCAGUGUUUCAUAGAGUCAUAGAGUCAUAGACCAGUUUCAUAGAGUCAUAGAAUAGAAUCACAGAAUUGUUUGAUUUGGAAGGGACCUUUAAAGAUCAUCUAAUCCAACUCUCCUGCAAUGAACAGAGACACCUACUGCUACAUCAGACGUUCAGAAUCUCUUCCAGCCUCACCUUGAAAGUCUUCAAGGACAGAUUGUGUUACUUUGGACUGCUUUGAUUGCUUCAUGAGUCAAGGAAACCAAGCAUACUCAAAAAAAGUUGACUGUAUGUGAGCCAACAAGUACUGCAGGACUUUUCUCUCAUAAAUCUGUGUGUAGUUAAGAAGAUACUUGAAUGUAGUAAAAUUAGAGAAUCUGAGUUUUGACAGCAAUGCUAGGAAUUCCUUGGAUAGAGAUGGGGGAGAAAGAAAGAGGUGCAGGUGCUGUUACUUCAAUAUUUUGUUAGCUGCUUGGUGUUACUCUUAGUUCUUAUGCCAGGUGUUGGUGCCAGGUGUUUUGAACAGCAACAACUGUUAGGUACAGCUGUAUCCACCAUGCAAAGUCAAGAAAUUAGACAGUGCUCUGCUUUUUCAAAAAGGACAGCAGAUGUUAAUAUCUUGUAACUUUUGACUGUGAAGGGAAGAACAAACAAAACCUUUUCUACUGACAAUGUUUAAACAAGUUCUAAGGCAGGCUGCUUUAUCCUUUCCUACAGUCAAGAUAAAAUAAACCAAACCAGACUGACCAAAGAAGGGAAGAAUGGAGAAGUUUUUUUUCUACCUAGCUUCCUCCCUCCCCUUAUCCACCCCCUAUUCUCUGCAACAAAAAGUUGAUUGAAUCAUGAAAGUUGGGAAAUUCAGCAUUAUAGAUUACAAGAAAUGCAGCUCGUCUUCUUUCUUUAUUGAGAGACAGAGCUGCCUUCUAGCCACUGUUUCAGCCAGCCCUUUUCAGAGCCCUGUUAACAACAAUCUGGCUGAGCAUGGCAGUUUGACAGGACUGGGAUGAUUCUUAUUGUUUUGCUAUUGCCUUUCAGUCAAGCUGCUGCCAUUCUGCUGUUUGGCUACCUUGACUGACAGUGUGCAAGUGCCAUGUUUCUGACUUGGGGACCUUUCUGUGGUCAAGUUGCGUGCAGCUUUGCAGAUGAGAAUUCAAAUGAGUAGAAGUCACAAAAUUAAGACAUUGAAAUUACAGCCCCCACACCAGUGUGCAGUCAACCACAAAUUCAAAACAUGGUGUGGAAUGAUGGGAAGAGCAAUGUGAGAAUCACUUCAGCACAGAGUUUAGCCCCAUGUUUUUCAUGCAAUGAAAUCUGUAUUUUGCUUUAUACAAUGGACAAAACUUGCUGAGGGGUGAUUAUCUUCUGUUUUCUGUUUUGAGUCCAUUUACUCUGUGCAGAAUUUUUGUUUUAUUUCAAAAUAAGGUGCAUGUGAAGGAGUGGGUCUGAUGGCAGCUUUUAUAGACCAACCUCUGCUGAGCACACAGCUGCAAGGAAAUGAACCCAUGCGUUAAUGUGCAACACUGUACUGCGUAGACUUAGCUGAGGAAUAAUUUGUACAAAUUGCUGAUGGAAACCAAAUCAAAAGAAAGAAGCCUGCUCUGAUUGCUGCUUGGGAGGGACAAAUCUAGAGGGCCCACUGGACCAGCUAUGGGGCCUGGAGACUGUUCUGUACCUCUGCACAGUGAUAGUGCUCUCUCCCACCUUUUAUACUCAUAGAACACAAAUGUCCCAUCUGCAAGAGAAGUAACAUGAAAAGGAGCAACAUCUGCAACAGCUGUGUGUAUCAGUAGCUAACCCUUGGGAGGACUCAUGACUGGGCUCUUUAGAAAGGUCCUGAUCAAAAUUUAAAGCAAAGGCAGCAACCCACUUUAAGAAUAGAGACACAACACAUGUUUUGAAAAGGUAUCUUUUGUGAAACAGCACGCAAUUAAGAAAAAAAUAUGUUUGAAUAUAGACUUCUAUUGAGUUUUGCUAUUAAUAUAUGUCAAGUUGGUGUUCUUCUUAAAAGACAGUCACUGAAUUAUUAUCAAGUUGUAUGCAUAUAUAAUUAAGAGACUGCUGUGUGAAAUGCAUCUUUUUAAAAUGGUCCCUUAUUACUCAUAUGAAUACUUGAUUCUGAAGAUGCUGUUUAGUGGAGGUUAAGCAAAAAAACUCAUAAGCAAAUCCCCAUGUGAGUUGAGUGCAUAAAUACCCAUUCUAGUCAAAGAAGAAUCAAUGAGUGCAGGUGCUUUGGGGUUUUUGUUUCUUUAUUUUUGUUUUGUUUUUUAAUUAGCUGGUUCUUACUGUUUUUAUUAAUCUGUUACUAAUAGUGAUAGCGAUCCAAAAUCUGAGUUCACUAUCUGUGUUAACGGUUGUACAACAGUAGCUCUUCUGGGCACUGACAGAGCUCAAGGCAUUCAUUCAUGAAAGUUCUCAGCUUUUGUUCAGUGACUUCUUAAGGGAACUGUCAUUUUGGUGACAUACUAGGCUAGUCUGGGAUAUAUAAGAAUGAGUGUAAGUAUUUUUAAGGUUUCUUCAGUUAGGGUAGGACCUUUUGUUUGACCUCUCAGGUAAAUGCCCUGAGCGUAGACCCCAUACACAUAUGCAAACUCCUAAGAAACAAUUAUGUCCUACACUGAUGCGGACACACAAGAUUCUCCAGUUAUUUGUCAUUUCCCAGAGCACAACGCCUGUAGUCUGCUCAAAAGUUGUUUUUUAUUUCCAGGAAUUCUAAAUGUUAGAAGAUUCUUACAUGCUGACUAAAAAAAAAAAUAAAAAAAUAAUAAAAAAAAUUCAUCUCCAACUGUGCAAAAGACUCAUGGACCUAGACAAAACAAUGAAACAUCUGAGCUUCUACCCUAACACUAUGUUCUUUGAAGUUAUGCCAGAUGGUUUAGGUUCUUUAUAAUUUCUCAUAUGCAAAAGUCUUUCGUACAGCCUGGUGUUACUGCAACAUCAUGGUAUUUGCAGUGCUUAUUUAAAUGCUAAGUGCGUUCCAAGAGUUACUGAAGAAGACAACAUCCUCAUGCUGAGAAAGGGUACUUGUGAGGCACCCAGUACAAUUCAGCUUGUUCCCAAUCCUCUCCUUGAAGAAUACUGAGUAAAAUCCUCUGUUUAGAGAAGCU
ensembl:lncRNA